rfam:Myotis lucifugus cont2.3147, whole genome shotgun sequence.
GGCGGUUCUCGGGUGACGCACCCCGAAAUCUGGUUCUGGGUGCAUCACCUGAGAACUGCU